rnacentral:rRNA from 1 species
UUUAUGGAGAGUUUGAUCCUGGCUCAGGAUGAACGCUGGCGGCGUGCCUAAUACAUGCAAGUCGAGCGAACGGACGAGAAGCUUGCUUCUCUGAUGUUAGCGGCGGACGGGUGAGUAACACGUGGAUAACCUACCUAUAAGACUGGGAUAACUUCGGGAAACCGGAGCUAAUACCGGAUAAUAUUAUGAACCGCAUGGUUCAAAAGUGAAAGACGGUCUUGCUGUCACUUAUAGAUGGAUCCGCGCUGCAUUAGCU